GAUGAACGCUGGCGGCGUGCCUAAUACAUGCAAGUCGAGCGAACAGAUAAGGAGCUUGCUCCUUUGACGUUAGCGGCGGACGGGUGAGUAACACGUGGGUAACCUACCUAUAAGACUGGAAUAACUCCGGGAAACCGGGGCUAAUGCCGGAUAACAUUUAGAACCGCAUGGUUCUAAAGUGAAAGAUGGUUUUGCUAUCACUUAUAGAUGGACCCGCGCCGUAUUAGCUAGUUGGUAAGGUAACGGCUCACCAAGGCAACGAUACGUAGCCGACCUGAGAGGGUGAUCGGCCACACUGGAACUGAGACACGGUCCAGACUCCUACGGGAGGCAGCAGUAGGGAAUCUUCCGCAAUGGGCGAAAGCCUGACGGAGCAACGCCGCGUGAGUGAUGAAGGUCUUCGGAUCGUAAAACCCUGUUAUUAGGGAAGAACAAAUGUGUAAGUAACUGUGCACGUCUUGACGGUACCUAAUCAGAAAGCCACGGCUAACUACGUG
rnacentral:rRNA from 1 species